UGGGGAAUAUUGCACAAUGGGCGCAAGCCUGAUGCAGCCAUGCCGCGUGUAUGAAGAAGGCCUUCGCGUUGUAAAGUACUUCCAGCGGGGAGGAAGGCGAUAAGGUUAAUAACCUUGUCGAUUGACGUUACCCGCAGAAGAAGCACCGGCUAACUCCGUGCCAGCAGCCGCGGUAAUACGGAGGGUGCAAGCGUUAAUCGGAAUUACUGGGCGUAAAGCGCACGCAGGCGGUGUGUCAAGUCGGAUGUGAAAUCCCCGGGCUCAACCUGGGAACUGCAUUCGAAACUGGCAGGCUAGAGUCUUGUAGAGGGGGGUAGAAUUCCAGGUGUAGCGGUGAAAUGCGUAGAGAUCUGGAGGAAUACCGGUGGCGAAGGCGGCCCCCUGGACAAAGACUGACGCUCAGGUGCGAAAGCGUGGGGAGCAAACA
rnacentral:rRNA from 1 species